rnacentral:rRNA from 1 species
GACGAACGCUGGCGGCGUGCUUAACACAUGCAAGUCGAACGGAAAGGCCCUGCUUUUGUGGGGUGCUCGAGUGGCGAACGGGUGAGUAACACGUGAGUAACCUGCCCUUGACUUUGGGAUAACUUCAGGAAACUGGGGCUAAUGCCGGAUAGGAGCUCCUGCUGCAUGGUGGGGGUUGGAAAGUUUCGGCGGUUGGGGAUGGACUCGCGGCUUAUCAGCUUGUUGGUGGGGUAGUGGCUUACCAAGGCUUUGACGGGUAGCCGGCCUGAGAGGGUGACCGGCCACAUUGGGACUGAGAUACGGCCCAGACUCCUACGGGAGGCAGCAGUGGGGAAUAUUGCACAAUGGGCGGAAGCCUGAUGCAGCAACGCCGCGUGCGGGAUGACGGCCUUCGGGUUGUAAACCGCUUUCGCCUGUGACGAAGCGUGAGUGACGGUAAUGGGUAAAGAAGCACCGGCUAACUACGCG